rnacentral:rRNA from 1 species
AACGAACGCUGGCGGCAUGCCUAACACAUGCAAGUCGAACGAGAUCCUUCGGGGUCUAGUGGCGCACGGGUGCGUAACGCGUGGGAAUCUGCCCUUAGGUUCGGAAUAACAGUUAGAAAUGACUGCUAAUACCGGAUGAUGACGUUAAGUCCAAAGAUUUAUCGCCUGAGGAUGAGCCCGCGUAGGAUUAGCUAGUUGGUGCGGUAAAGGCGCACCAAGGCGACGAUCCUUAGCUGGUCUGAGAGGAUGAUCAGCCACACUGGGACUGAGACACGGCCCAGACUCCUACGGGAGGCAGCAGUGGGGAAUAUUGGACAAUGGGCGCAAGCCUGAUCCAGCAAUGCCGCGUGAGUGAUGAAGGCCUUAGGGUUGUAAAGCUCUUUUACCCGGAAUGAUAAUGACAGUACCGGGAGAAUAAGCCCCGGCUAACUCCGUG